GAUGAAGAACGUAGUGAAAUGCGAUAAGUAGUGUGAAUUGCAGAAUUCAGUGAAUCAUCGAAUCUUUGAACGCACAUUGCGCCCUUUGGUAUUCCUUAGGGCAUGCCUGUUCGAGCGUCAUUUAAACCUUCAAGCUCAGCUUGGUGAUGGGUGACUGUCCCCCCCUCGCGGGGGGACUCGCCUCAAAAACAUUGGCGGCCGGUACAUUGGCUUCGAGCGCAGCAGAAACGCGGUCUCGAGCCCGGUGGAUCGGCUCCCAUAAGUCUAUUCUUUUAUUUUGACCUCGGAUCAGGUAGGGAUACCCGCUGAACUUAAGCAUAUCAAUAAGCGGAGGA
rnacentral:misc_RNA from 1 species